rnacentral:rRNA from 1 species
AUGAACGCUGGCGGCGUGCCUAAUACAUGCAAGUCGAGCGAACAGACGAGGAGCUUGCUCCUCUUACGUUAGCGGCGGACGGUUGAGUAACACGUGGAUAACCUACCUAUAAGUCUUGGAUAACUUCGGGAAACCGGAGCUAAUACCGGAUAAUAUAUUGAACCGCAUGGUUCAAUAGUGAAAGACGGUUUUGCUUUCACUUAUAGAUGGAUCCGCGCCGCAUUAGCUAGUUGGUAAGGUAACGGCUUACCAAGGCAACGAUGCGUAGACGACCUGAGAGGGGGAUCGGCCAAACUGGAAGUGAGACACGGAACAGACAACUACGGGAGGAAGCAGAAGGGAAUAUUCCGCAAUGGGCGAAAGCAUGACGGAGCAACGCCGCGUGAGUGAUGAAGGUCUACGGAUCGUAAAAAUCUGUUAUUAGGGAAGAACAAAUGUGUAAGUAAAUAUGCACGUAUUGACGGUACCUAAUCAGAAAGCCACGGCUAACUACGUG